AGAGCGAACGCUGGCGGCAGGCCUAACACAUGCAAGUCGAGCGCCCGUAGCAAUACGGGAGCGGCAGACGGGAUAGUAACACGUGGGAACGCGCCCUUCGGUUCGGAAUAACUCAGGGAAACUUGAGCUAAUACCGGAUACGCCCUUACGGGGAAAGAUUUAUUGCCGAAGGAACGGCCCGCGUCCGAUUAGCUAGUUGGUGAGGUAAUGGCUCACCAAGGCGACGAUCGGUAGCUGGUCUGAGAGGAUGACCAGCAUCACUGGGACUGAGACACGGCCCAGACUCCUACGGGAGGCAGCAGUGGGGAAUAUUGGACAAUGGGCGCAAGCCUGAUCCAGCCAUGCCGCGUGGAUGAUGAAGGCCUUAGGGUUGUAAAGUCCUUUUAACGGGGAAGAUAAUGACAGUACCCGUAGAAUAAGCCCCGGCUAACUUCGUGCCAGCAGCCGC
rnacentral:rRNA from 1 species